UACGAAGGGUGCAAACGUUGCUCGGAAUUAUUGGGCGUAAAGCGCACGUAGGCGGCUCAGCAAGUCGGAUGUGAAAGCCCACGGCUCAACCGUGGAAGUGCAUCCGAAACUGCUGAGCUUGAGUACUUAAGAGGAUCGCGGAAUUCCCGGUGUAGAGGUGAAAUUCGUAGAUAUCGGGAGGAACACCAGUGGCGAAGGCGGCGAUCUGGGAAGAUACUGACGCUGAGGUGCGAAAGCGUGGGGAGCAAACAGG
rnacentral:rRNA from 1 species